CCAUCAUUCAGUUGGGCACUCUAGCGAGACUGCCGGUAAUAAACCGGAGGAAGUGGGGAUGACGUCAAUCAUCAUGCCCCUUAUGACCUGGGCUACACACGUGCUACAAUGGUUGGUACAACGAGUUGCGAGUCGGUGACGGCGAGCUAAUCUCUUAAAGCCAAUCUCAGUUCGGAUUGUAGGCUGCAACUCGCCUACAUGAAGUCGGAAUCGCUAGUAAUCGCGGAUCAGCACGCCGCGGUGAAUACGUUCCCGGGCCUU
rnacentral:rRNA from 1 species